AUUGAACGCUGGCGGUAUGCUUUACACAUGCAAGUCGAACGGUAACAGGCUAAGGGGUGGUGACGAGUGGCGGAGGGGUGCGUAAUGGAGAGGAAUGCGUCCAGAGGUGGGGGUUAACGCAGCGUAACGUGUGGUAACAUACCAUGAGAUCUGAGGCUGAAAGCGGGGGAAAAGGCAGCAACGUCUGGCCUCGCGCCAUUGGAGGGGCCGAUGUCGGAUUAGGUAGUUGGCGGGGUAAAGGCCCACCAAGGCGACGAUCCGUAGCUGGUCUGAGAGGAUGAGAAGCCACACUGGAACUGAGACACGGUCCAGACUACUACGGGAGGCAGCAGUGGGGAAUAUUGGACAAUGGGCGUAAGCCUGAUCCAGGCAUAGCGCGUCUGUGAAGAAGGCCUUCGCGUUGUAAAGCAUGCUUGUUGGGAAAGAAAAGCAGAAGGUUAAUAGUGCGCUGUUAAGACGGUAGGUAAAGAAUAAGAAUAGGGUAACUUGGUG
rnacentral:rRNA from 1 species